CAGCCGCCGCGGGAAUACGAAGGGGGCUAGCGUUGUUCGGAAUUACUGGGCGUAAAGGGCGCGUAGGCGGCCAUUCAAGUUAGAUGUGAAAGCCCUGGGCUUAACCUAGGAAUUGCAUUUGAUACUGUUUGGCUUGAGUUCGGGAGAGGUGAGUGGAAUUCCCAGUGUAGAGGUGAAAUUCGUAGAUAUUGGGAAGAACACCAGUGGCGAAGGCGGCUCACUGGACCGACACUGACGCUGAGGCGCGAAAGCGUGGGGAGCAAACAGGAUUAGAUACCCCCGUAGUCCCUGUCUCUUAUAC
rnacentral:rRNA from 1 species